CCUACGGGUGGCAGCAGUGAGGAAUAUUGGUCAAUGGGCGCUAGCCUGAACCAGCCAAGUAGCGUGAAGGAUGACUGCCCUAUGGGUUGUAAACUUCUUUUAUAAAGGAAUAAAGCGCAGCACGUAUACCUCUUUGCAUGUACUUUAUGAAUAAGGAUCGGCUAACUCCGUGCCAGCAGCCGCGGUAAUACGGAGGAUCCGAGCGUUAUCCGGAUUUAUUGGGUUUAAAGGGAGCGUAGAUGGGUUGUUAAGUCAGUUGUGAAAGUUUGCGGCUCAACCGUAAAAUUGCAAUUGAUACUGGCAGCCUUGAGUACAGUUGAGGUAGGCGGAAUUCGUGGUGUAGCGGUGAAAUGCUUAGAUAUCACGAAGAACCCCGAUUGCGAAGGCAGCUUGCUAAACUGUGACUGACACUGAUGCUCGAAAGUGUGGGUAUCAAACAGGAUUAGAUACCCCAGUAGUC
rnacentral:rRNA from 1 species